ACAGAUUUUAACAGUAAAAUCAGGAGAAGAAGAUUAUCGUGAUACAUCUCACCUGCUAAGACAGGCCUCACCUUAUAUGGAAAUCAAGUUUAAUAAUGCUGAAGACCCUUCAAAUAUUCCGAACAAAAGGCAAAUCCAGUCUUUGUCUAGAACUGAGCAGCGCAAAAGAAUGAAAUUAACCGGUUCUGAGUCUUGCGUGCGGCACAAAGAAUCUACAAGGUGGAAUUAAGUAGUGGUUCAAAACCGUGUAAUGUUGACACUGCAGAUGGAGAGAGAAACCAUCAGAUUAUGCAGAGUUUUGCUAAAGCUAUAUGGAAUGUUUUGAAGGAGUACAACAAAAAACUAAAGGUAAUCAAGAGUCUCAUACAUUCAAUUCAUGUAGUUAGUUAGGUAAACUGAUUCCUAUCAUCCAGUUCCUAAUUUUGAUGCCCAUUUGUUGAUCAAGCUGAGGCAGUAUUCAUUCUUUACUUUGGUUCCUUUCCUAACUAGCUCAACUUCCAUCAAUUAUAUGUUCAAAAGAAAACCUACUCAUCUAUCUGGUCAUAAGUAGGUGGCGGAUGAUGAAAUCAAUGUAGUCGGAAUCACAUUAAUGUAAAG